rnacentral:misc_RNA from 1 species
CAGGGAUGUUUGCUUUGAGGGAAAGAAGGGUUCACGUGACUCAGGAAGAUUUUGAGAUGGCUGUUGCCAAGGUGAUGAAGAAGGAAUCAGAGAAGAACAUGUCGUUACGAAAGCUUUGGAAGUAGAAUUGUCUUAUGAAGCGGCCAAGGCAUGGCGUGGCAAAUUCCAAAUAUUGCUUUUCUUUUGUUGUCGAAUUCUUCACCUCCCCCGAGCUGUGCUUAAAGAUUUGUUGAACUCAGUUUAUUUAUCUUGAAUGAUGCUUUCUAG